CCUACGGUGAGCAGCAGUCGAGAAUCAUUCACAAUGGGGGAAACCCUGAUGCUGCAACGCCGCGUGGAGGAAUGAAGGUCUUCGGUUUUUAACCCCCUUUCAUGUGGGAGCAAAUUAAGACGAUAGUACCGCAAUAGGACGCGACUGCUAACUCUGUGCCAGCAGCCGCGGGAAUACAGAGGUCUCAAUCAUUGUUCGGAAUCACUGGGUGUAAAGCGUUCGUAGGCUGUUUAGUAAGGCUGUUGUGAAAGGCGCGGGCUCAACCUGCGGACGGCAGAUGAUACUGGGAGACUGGAGGAAUGGAGGGGGAGACGGAAUUCUUGGUGUAGCGGUGAAAUGCGUAGAUA
rnacentral:rRNA from 1 species